AUAGGUCACUGGUGAAAUUCACUGGCUCGGCAGGUGACUCAUAGGUCUCCAAGGAAACCGUCAUCUUUAAAUCAGUUUUUUUUAACCGCGCACUUUAACAAUUCAAAGCGUAUGUGUCUGUUUAAGUGAAAGCAAGAAUUUUAAUCCUUUCAAUGAAUUGGCGGGCUUGAACAGAGCAGAUUUGUCCGGAUCUGUAAGUGAAUGCAAGAAUGUUAACCAGUGAAAUGAAUUGCCGGGAUGGAAAAACCCUCUUCACUCUGAGACUAUUGAUGUGGCAUUUCUGUAUAUGGAAGGGACUGAUUUAUAUGUGCGGGAAACAUGGAUUCUAAGAACAGAUAAACAACAGAAAAAGUGAUAAGUGAUGCAAACUCUACAGUUAGAACUUGAAGACUCUUAUAUCAAAGUGAUAUUUUGUAGUGGACAUAGUGAAGUGGAGUGUACUUGAGAAACAUUGAACUUUCUACCUCUUCCUUCUUUUAGUUACAUUCCAUGGAAUACUUUAAUGAAAGUGAAAGUGGCAAAGAAUACACUGUGAUACAUUAUAGGAGGAAAAACGGAUUUGACGAAACAUGGUGAAAUUAAUUGUGUCGUAUAAUCUGGGAAAUAAAAUUACAGAAUUUAAUUAAUUUUG